UGUCUUUCAACUUGACCUCAUAUUGUAGUUGCAUAACUUUCUGCGAAGUACUAGCUCAAAGCUGCAACUGUUUUUAACAGUGAGCUAGUUGAAUUUGUUCUUCCGGUUCUCCUGUAUCCAUAAUGUUCCCUGUAAGUUCUGAAUGCGCUGUGCGAAACCACUUUUACGAAUUCUAAAAUUUGUGCAAUUCUAUCAUCUCUUGUUACAAAUGAACUUUGGACUCGCAGGAUCAUUUAAAUAUGGAAAUUUUCCUAACUUACUGAAGAAAUAUGUAAUGAUGUAUUGAUGUCUACACUCUGGUAAUCAUAUAGUGAUGUACCGAUACCAUUGUGUAUGAUUUGCUCUUCUUUUCGGCAUCUCUGUUCAACUUAACUUCUCCACAAACUUAUCACAUCUUUUAGAUCCUUGCAAUGGUGCCUACUUGUAACCUCAAGAUACAUUAGCAUAUCAUUUAAAGAUUUAGUUCAUGCCUGGUAAGGCUGGCUUUCUGGGCUUUGUGGCUUUGGGCCGUUCGAUAGCAUCGCGGAUGGCUAGGAUUGCAUGUAAAAAUUCUGAGGUGGCGGCUGUAAUAUUCUCAAGGGUGAGUUUUUCUGGUCAUUUACCCGCAGUGCCAUCCCACGUCCAUGCAUGUCGGCAUUGAUUCACCGAUUCAGCCUCGCGCGCUCACCCUACGGCUCAUCACCAUCCUGAGGUCUAUCAGUUCUAUUGGCAUGUGUAGGUUUGCGUCAGUAUUAUAUAAGAUUCAUUGAACAUUCUGUUUGCAAGAAACCUUUUUGUCCUCGUCUACUCACCUAGUUCCCAGCUGAUAUAUGCUCGUGUCAUGAGUGUUUGAAAUUACUAAUGCAGUGGUUGUCCACCUAUUUAUGUGGCGCUGUUUAAUCUGAUCCUCCAACAUUCAUCUUACCUGUGCUAUUCUCCAUGUGCAGCUUACUGCUUUGAAUAAUGAAUUGCAAGCUAUGCAGAGGGACAAGGAGAUACUGAAGGCCAGUACCCGGUAGAAACACAGCAGAGGAGGAGGCAAGAUGUUAUUGAAGCACUCUUGUCCUUGCAGCCAUGUCUUCCACCCACAACUUAUCAUCUUCUCAGUGAACUUCAGUUUCUGCUGAGGUCUAUCAGUUCUAUUGGCAUGUCUUACUGCUCUGAAUAAUGAAUUGCAAGCUAUGCAGAGGGACAAGGAGAUACUGAAGGCCAGUACCCAGUAGAAACACAGCAGAGGAGGAGGCAAGAUGUUAUUGAAGCUCUCUUGUCCUUGCAGCCAUGUCUUCCACCCACAACUUAUCAUCUUCUCAGUGAACUUCAGUUUCUGCUGCACUGAUGAGAACAGAACUCUCGACGAAGCAAACAAAAGGCUGGUGAGUUUACUGGAGGAAGAGCAAAAACAUCGGUCAAAGGGAAGCACUCCACAAAGGUAAAAAGGACGAGGUGCUUCCAAAAUAUUGCAAUUCUACGGUUUCCUGCAAAAACAUCCUUUUGUGUGUAUGCCCAUCCUAAGAAAAUUGUUGUAACGUUGAGAUUGCCGCAAUACGUAUCCUGUGAUUAUUCUGCUUCUUACCCUGAUGAUUUAAAGUCUUCAUGCAUUAAACUGACCUCCUAUCCUCAAAAUACCAAGUGUUCUUUUCCUUUCUUUUUAUAUGUUGAGACAAAAUCGCACCAGGCCAAUCUGCACUCCUAGCUAGCUUUUAUGCAGAUCUCUUGUGAAUGAGUAUAUCUAAAUAAUUUUGCCAUUUUGAUACUUGAA